rnacentral:rRNA from 1 species
GCAAAAGAAGGGCGUAUGGGGGAUGCCUGGGCUCUCAGAGGCGAAGAAGGACGUGAUAAGCUGCGAAAAGCCACGGGGAACUGCACACGAGUGUUGAUCCGUGGAUAUCCGAAUGGGGCAACCCGGCUGGUUGAAGGCCAGUCACACCGCAAGGUGGGCAAACCCGCUGAACUGAAACAUCUAAGUAGGCGGAGGAAGAGAAAACAAAAGUGAUUCCGAUAGUAGUGGCGAGCGAAAUCGGAUUAGUCCAAACCAUUGUUGUUUCGGCAACAAUGGGGUUGUAGGACCACGACAUUUGGUGCGCAAUGAAUUAGAACCCUUUGGAAAGAGGGGCCGUAGACGGUGACAGCCCGGUACAAGUAAAGCGCGUUACCAAUAGUGGUAUCCUGAGUAGUGCGGGGCACGUGAAACCCUGUAUGAAUCCGGCGGGACCAUCCGCCAAGACUAAAUACUCCUGAGAGACCGAUAGUGAACCAGUACCGUGAGGGAAAGGCGAAAAGAACCCCUGAGAGGGGAGUGAAAUAGAUCCUGAAACCGUAUGCGUACAAGCAGUCGGAGCGGACUUGUUCCGUGACGGCGUACCUUUUGUAUAAUGGGUCAGCGACUUAUGUUCAGUGGCGAGGUUAACCGUUUAGGGGAGCCGUAGGGAAACCGAGUCUGAAUAGGGCGAUUUAGUCGCUGGGCAUAGACCCGAAACCGGGCGAUCUAUCCAUGAGCAGGUUGAAGGUUGAGUAACAUCAACUGGAGGACCGAACCCACUGUCGUUGAAAAGCCAGGGGAUGACUUGUGGAUCGGAGUGAAAGGCUAAUCAAGCCCGGAGAUAGCUGGUUCUCCCCGAAAGCUAUUUAGGUAGCGCCUCGGACGAAUACCACAGGGGGUAGAGCACUGUUUCGGCUAGGGGGUCAUCCCGACUUACCAACCCGAUGCAAACUCCGAAUACCUGUGAGUACUAUCCGGGAGACACACGGUGGGUGCUAACGUCCAUCGUGAAGAGGGAAACAACCCAGACCGCCAGCUAAGGUCCCCAAAUACCAAUUAAGUGGGAAACGAUGUGGGAAGGCUCAGACAGCUAGGAGGUUGGCUUAGAAGCAGCCACCCUUUAAAGAAAGCGUAAUAGCUCACUAGUCGAGU